rnacentral:lncRNA from 1 species
GGUCUUCCUGGGGUUGCUGUGAGGUCAAUUUCAUCAGGUCUGACUAUAGAUGCAUGACCUGCAGCCAAGGAAGACAGGAUCAAGACUGUAAAGGCUGAUGUAAAGGUCCACACAGAGACUUGAAAGGUAGGCUGGCUCGCUAUAAAAGGGAUUGUUUGACCUCUCUUCUCUCCCUGUCCCCUUUCUCUCUCUGAUUCUUUUCUCCCUUUCUUCCCUUCCCCCUCCUUCUCUCUCCACGUGUUCCUGGCAGGCCUCCUCUCUUCUCUUUCCCUCUUUCUCUCUUUCUCUCUGUUUUCCUCUCUUUCUCUUCCUCUACUCCCUUCACAACUCACCUUCCAACACUCCCAAAUAAACUCUAUGCUAUACUAUACCCCUCCUAUGGCUGGUACGUCAGGGAUGACCAAUUAAACUAUCAUGCAGGUCCUGUAUCAGUUGGGUGGUAGACUUAGUUACCCUGUUCCCAGCAUCCUCAUAUGUCAGUCUGGGAGACAUUGAGGGCAGAGUGUAAUUGGUAUUCGCCUCUGUGUUAUUUAGACGUUUAGGAUGUGAAUGCAGACUCUGAGAUCCUCUACUGGACAAGAGAAUCCAUGUCACUGUCAUGUGAGACAGAAGGAGUAAUUCAUCUUUAUAUAGAUAAGGAGGCCUCCGCAGCUGGAACUGGGCAGAGCCAGAGACAGGAGCAGCAGACAUCAGGCAGGUCUUAUUUUCCAUGCCUACUUAUCCUGUAAAGAAGCAUGUGAUUUACUCUCAUGGGUUGUGGUGCAUCCAAAGCUAAGGACACUCCUGAGCUUUGGAAUGUCCUGCCAUGUAAGUGCACUGCAAAUUUAAACCAUUACUCAAGCAUCUAACUUUUCAUAACCAUUUAAGAGAUACACCUGAUUUUGAUCACUGUCUUACAGUAAAUAAAUGUGGUUUCCUUUGAAUUUGUUUUGAGUAACUUGCUUUAGUCUUGACUUUGACAACAUAUACAGAAGACUAUAUAAUGAGGAAUUGGUCUCUCCCUCCAAGCUUGCUCCUGUAACUGAAUUAUGUUUAGCAUGACCACAAUUUAUGACACAAUUCUGGGCACAUUAAAGAAUUUGAUCAUUUAUAAGAUAGCUGAUCUUGUAUCUCUUAAUAAUCUUUAAUAGUUUAUAAUAAGUAACUCUCAUAAGAUUAGGAUUUUAUAAUUUUACCUUUAACCAUCUUACAUUUUUACAUUUAUAUUUACAUUAGUCAUUUUAACUUUUAUCUAUUUAAAAAUACUACGAGGCAUAACAGUAUAGACAUAACAAAUAAAUUUUUGUUGAAUUUUAUUAUAAGAAAAUUUUCUAAGGGAAGGUGUUAAGUAAUAUUUGGGGCCUCUACACAGUAAGUAAAAUAGCUUUUUAUUGUUGCAUAAGGGGAUCUCCUCCCCAGUUUUGGUUUUUAGCGUGCAUUCAGAAAAAAACUCAGUUUGCAUGUAAUUGGGGGCUGGGAGAAAUGACUAGAUACUAGGAAUGAAUGUCCAAUGACCUUGCCUGGUUUCUUUCUUGAAGAAAUAUAAACAUUUAACAAGUUUUGCUUGAUUUGCUUUAAGCAGGCACAGUUGUAUUUCUGGAGAUUCUAACUGCUCAUUUUAGAAGAUACAGUACAGCCAGGUGGUGGUGGCACACGCCUUUAAUCCCAGCAUUUGGGAGGCAGAGGCAGGUGGAUUUCUGAGUUCGAGGCCAGCCUGGUCUACAGAGUGAGUUCCCUGGACAACCAGGGCUAUACAGAGAAACCCUGUCUCAAAAAAAAAAAA